rnacentral:misc_RNA from 1 species
ACAAACUUGGUCAUUUAGAGGAAGUAAAAGUCGUAACAAGGUUUCCGUAGGUGAACCUGCGGAAGGAUCAUUAUUGAAUACAGCUGGAUUAGGUUGUUGCUGGCUUCUAGAAGCAUGUGCACAUCUAUUCCAUAUCUUUCAACCCCCAUGUGCACCCUGUGUAGGCCUGGAAUGACUCUCGAGUUUGUUAAUGGCUUCCAUCAUUACAUCCUCUCGGUUUGAGAAAUUGCUGCGGCCGCAAAGCCAGCUUUUCUUGCGGUUUCAAGGUCUAUGUGUUUAUGUACCCAAUUAGAAUGUCUGAGAAACAGCGCUCUAUAAAAACAAAAUAUAUACAACUUUCAACAACGGAUCUCUUGGCUCUCGCAUCGAUGAAGAACGCAGC